rnacentral:rRNA from 1 species
GACAGGGGUGGCAAGCGUUGUUCGGAGUGACUGGGCGUAAAGGGUCUGUAGGUGGUUUUUCAAGUCUUUGGUAAAAAGCUGUGGCUCAACCACAGUGCGGCCAAGGAGACUGGGAGACUCGAGGCUGGGAGAGGGAAGCGGAAUUUCUGGUGUAGCGGUGAAAUGCGUAGAGAUCAGAAAGAAGGCCGGUGGCGAAGGCGGCUUCCUGGAACAGACCUGACACUGAGAGACGAAAGCGUGGGGGAGCAAACAGGGUUAGAUACCCUGGUAGUCCACGCCCUAAACGAUGGGUACUAAGUGUGGGGAGCAAUCCCUGUGCCGCAGCUAACGCAAUAAGUACCCCCGCCUGGGGAGUACGGCCGCAAGGUUGAAACUCAAAGG